rnacentral:rRNA from 1 species
GAUAAACGCUGGCGGCGCACAUAAGACAUGCAAGUCGAACGGAAGUCGUUGUAAUGAUAUAGACAUGGACUGAGAACUUGUUCAAAGAAAAUGAAAGUUGACUUACAACAAUGGCUUUAGUGGCGGACUGGUGAGUAACACGUAAGCAACCUGCCUAUCAGAGGGGAACAACAGUUAGAAAUGACUGCUAAUACCGCAUAUGCCUUAGCAACACAUGUUGCAAAAGGGAAAGGAGCAAUCCGCUGAUAGAUGGGCUUGCGUCUGAUUAGAUAGUUGGUGGGGUAACGGCCUACCAAGUCGACGAUCAGUAGCCGGACUGAGAGGUUGAACGGCCACAUUGGGACUGAGAUACGGCCCAGACUCCUACGGGAGGCAGCAGUCGGGAAUAUUGCGCAAUGGAGGAAACUCUGACGCAGUGACGCCGCGUGCAGGAAGAAGGUUUUCGGAUUGUAAACUGCUUUAGACAGGGAAGAACAAAGACAGUACCUGUAGAAUAAGCUCC